rnacentral:rRNA from 1 species
AUACGGAGGAUCCGAGCGUUAUCCGGAUUUAUUGGGUUUAAAGGGUGCGCAGGCGGCCAUUUAAGUCAGCGGUUAAAUCGUGGGGCUCAACCCCAUUCUGCCGUUGAUACUGGGUGGCUUGAUUGCGGUCGAGGUUGGCGGAAUUCGUUGUGUAGCGGUGAAAUGCAUAGAUAUGACGAAGAACACCGAUUGCGUAGGCGUCUGACCAGACCGCAAAUUGCGCUCAUGCACGAAAGUGCGGGGAUCGAACAGGAUUAGAUGCCCUGGUAGUCCGCACAGUAAACGAUGAAUACUUGUUUUCGGCGAUAUAAUGUCGGAGGCAAAGCGAAAGCGAUAAGUAUUCCACCUGGGGAGUACGCCGGCAACGGUGAAACUCAAAUGAAUUGACGGGG